rnacentral:lncRNA from 1 species
AGGAAAGGAGCUGAGAUCCGUGACUGGCAACUCUGGCUCAGCUGAAAACCAUAUGGAUGAAUCAUCCUGGAAGUGGGUUCUCCAGCCUCAGUCCAGCCACACCAGGUGACACUAUGGAGUAAAGAGGAGCCAUCCCACCCAACUCUGCCAGAAUUGCAGACCUGUAACCAAAUUAUUUCAGGGGACCUUUGAGCAAAUAAACCUUCAGCUUCCUCAUCUGUAAUGUGGAGAUAAUGUCUACCAGGUGACAUCACUGAGACUAUUAAAUGAAAGUGCAAACGUGUUCUAUAUCUUCUUGGAGAAAAAACUUCUAGGGAAGGAAACAAGAUUUUGUGAUCUACCAACCCUGUAUUUUUACAGGUUAGAUCUUCCAGAAACAGAUUUCGAGAGGGAGUUUGGGAUGCAAAAUAUUUAAUAAGGAUCAACACCUUUGAGAAGAAGGAGACAGGCUCAGAAUUUGGCAGGCGAAAGAAUCAAAUUGCAUUUACAGGACUGACAAAACCUGGGCUGGUCCCAUGGGAAGCUCUGGAGUGAAG